CCAGGAAAGAGUAUUAUGCAUGUGUUUGGAGCCUGCUUGUGGGAUUGCGUGUGGGUAGAGUGAGCCGAUUGUGGUGUGUGGUGUCGGUUUUAGUCGUGUUGUGUUUGUGGUGUAAUGUGAUGCAUAUAUGGCUAGGGCUAUAGAGAAUGUGUGUAUAGGGGAUGUAGUAAGUGUGUGCAUACAGGCUAUAGUGUGUGUGUGUAUAUAGGUGACGUAGUGUUUGU